ACUCAAAUGAAUUGACGGGGACUUGCACAAGCGGUGGAUCAGGUGGCUUAAUUCGAUGGUAAACGAAGAACCUCACCAGGGUUUGAAACUCAUAAGAAAGACCAAGGAAACUCGGUAACUCCGCAAGGACUUAUGAGCAGGUGAUGCAUGGCCGUCGUCAGUUCGUGGUUUGAACUGUCCCCUUAAGUGGGUCAACGAACGCAACCCUCGUUGUCUGUUAUACGUGUCAGACGAGACUGCCCCCGCCUUAGGCUUUGAAAGAAAUUUCGAAAGUUAAGGCGGGGGAGGAAGGAGAGGAUGACGCCAGGUCAGCAUGUCCCUUUGAUAUCCUGGGCUGCACACUUGAUACAAUGGUCACUACAACGGGUCGCGACGGGGUAACCCUGAGCUAAUCCUAAUAAAGGUGGCCCCAGUUCGGAUUGGGGGCUGAAACUCGACCCCAUGAAGUUGGAAUCGCUAGUAAUCGCGGGUCAGCUAUACCGCGGUGAAUACGUUCUCAAGUCUUGUACACACCGCCCGU
rnacentral:rRNA from 1 species